rnacentral:rRNA from 1 species
CACCGCGGUUAUACGAGAGGCCCAAGUUGAUAACCACCGGCGUAAAGCGUGGUUAAGUUAAAACUCACACUAAAGUCAAACAUCUUCAAGACUGUUAUACGUAACCGAAGACAGGAAGUUCAACCACGAAAGUGACUUUAUUUGAUCUGAACCCACGAAAGCUAAGGAA